rnacentral:rRNA from 1 species
CAAACUGCGAAUACCGGAGAAUGUUAUCACGGGAGACACACGGCGGGUGCUAACGUCCGUCGUGAAGAGGGAAACAACCCAGACCGCCAGCUAAGGUCCCAAAGUCAUGGUUAAGUGGGAAACGAUGUGGGAAGGCCCAGACAGCCAGGAUGUUGGCUUAGAAGCAGCCAUCAUUUAAAGAAAGCGUAAUAGCUCACUGGUCGAGUCGGCCUGCGCGGAAGAUGUAACGGGGCUAAACCAUGCACCGAAGCUGCGGCAGCGACGCUUAUGCGUUGUUGGGUAGGGGAGCGUUCUGUAAGCCUGCGAAGGUGUGCUGUGAGGCAUGCUGGAGGUAUCAGAAGUGCGAAUGCUGACAUAAGUAACGAUAAAGCGGGUGAAAAGCCCGCUCGCCGGAAGACCAAGGGUUCCUGUCCAACGUUAAUCGGGGCAGGGUGAGUCGACCCCUAAGGCGAGGCCGAAAGGCGUAGUCGAUGGGAAACAGGUUAAUAUUCCUGUACUUGGUGUUACUGCGAAGGGGGGACGGAGAAGGCUAUGUUGGCCGGGCGACGGUUGUCCCGGUUUAAGCGUGUAGGCUGGUUUUCCAGGCAAAUCCGGAAAAUCAAGGCUGAGGCGUGAUGACGAGGCACUACGGUGCUGAAGCAACAAAUGCCCUGCUUCCAGGAAAAGCCUCUAAGCAUCAGGUAACAUCAAAUCGUACCCCAAACCGACACAGGUGGUCAGGUAGAGAAUACCAAGGCGCUUGAGAGAACUCGGGUGAAGGAACUAGGCAAAAUGGUGCCGUAACUUCGGGAGAAGGCACGCUGAUAUGUAGGUGAAGUCCCUUGCGGAUGGAGCUGAAAUCAGUCGAAGAUACCAGCUGGCUGCAACUGUUUAUUAAAAACACAGCACUGUGCAAACACGAAAGUGGACGUAUACGGUGUGACGCCUGCCCGGUGCCGGAAGGUUAAUUGAUGGGGUCAGCGCAAGCGAAGCUCUUGAUCGAAGCCCCGGUAAACGGCGGCCGUAACUAUAACGGUCCUAAGGUAGCGAAAUUCCUUGUCGGGUAAGUUCCGACCUGCACGAAUGGCGUAAUGAUGGCCAGGCUGUCUCCACCCGAGACUCAGUGAAAUUGAACUCGCUGUGAAGAUGCAGUGUACCCGCGGCAAGACGGAAAGACCCCGUGAACCUUUACUAUAGCUUGACACUGAACAUUGAGCCUUGAUGUGUAGGAUAGGUGGGAGGCUUUGAAGUGUGGACGCCAGUCUGCAUGGAGCCGGCCUUGAAAUACCACCCUUUAAUGUUUGAUGUUCUAACGUGGACCCGUGAUCCGGGUUGCGGACAGUGUCUGGUGGGUAGUUUGACUGGGGCGGUCUCCUCCUAAAGAGUAACGGAGGAGCACGAAGGUUGGCUAAUCCUGGUCGGACAUCAGGAGGUUAGUGCAAUGGCAUAAGCCAGCUUGACUGCGAGCGUGACGGCGCGAGCAGGUGCGAAAGCAGGUCAUAGUGAUCCGGUGGUUCUGAAUGGAAGGGCCAUCGCUCAACGGAUAAAAGGUACUCCGGGGAUAACAGGCUGAUACCGCCCAAGAGUUCAUAUCGACGGCGGUGUUUGGCACCUCGAUGUCGGCUCAUCACAUCCUGGGGCUGAAGUAGGUCCCAAGGGUAUGGCUGUUCGCCAUUUAAAGUGGUACGCGAGCUGGGUUUAGAACGUCGUGAGACAGUUCGGUCCCUAUCUGCCGUGGGCGCUGGAGAACUGAGGGGGGCUGCUCCUAGUACGAGAGGACCGGAGUGGACGCAUCACUGGUGUUCGGGUUGUCAUGCCAAUGGCACUGCCCGGUAGCUAAAUGCGGAAGAGAUAAGUGCUGAAAGCAUCUAAGCACGAAACUUGCCCCGAGAUGAGUUCUCCCUGACCCUUUAAGGGUCCUGAAGGAACGUUGAAGACGACGACGUUGAUAGGCCGGGUGUGUAAGCGCAGCGAUGCGUUGAGCUAACCGGUACUAAUGAACCGUGAGGCUUAACCUUACAACGCCGAAG